UCUUCCUAUUACUGCCCUGCCUACAAUUACAAUCAGCCUCAUGAAGAGUUGAAAACUACCUGGCUCUAUUCCUCAGAGCCUAAUUUGCCCUCUAGUUAUGCCAUCCUACCGUCCUGGGUGGCUGCCACCCUGAGCAAUGGCAGUAACUGUGGAAAGAACAGAUGGCGGUUGGGGAGUUGCAUGCCUUCUAAGCGUCUGGUGCCCAUCAGGGCUGACUUAACAAUACAAGAGAUGGAAGGACCUGGUGAAGAGCAAGUUACCCCCAACCGUUAUCUGGAAGCAGAUGAUCCUCUCUGAUGUAUGAUCAGAAGGUCGAUAAUUGUAGCCAAAUGCCCCAACACAAUGCCCAUUUCGUUCACCUCACUUCGUCUCAUCACGGAGACAUUGUAUCAUCUCAUACCAUCAUAAGGAGAAAGGGGCUGAGAAGUCCUUCCAUCUGCCAUCUGCAACCCGGGGACUCAGGAAAGCUGGUGGUACAGUUCAGUCUGUGUCCGAAGACAUGAGAACCAGGGAGCCAAUGGUGUAAAUCCCAGUCCCACGGGAGAAGAGAUGUCCCAAUGCAAGCAGUGAGGCAGGGAAAAAACGGGAUGAAUUCCUCCUCCUUCUGCCUCUUGUUCUGUUUAGGCCCUCAGUGAUUUGGAUGAUGCCCACCCACAUGGGGGAGUGCAAUCUACUUUAUGGAGUCCACCUAUUCAAAUGUUAAUCUCAUCCUGAAAUACCCUUGCAGACACACCGAGAAAUAAUGUUUAAUCUGGACAUCCUGUGGCCAGUGAGGUUGACAUAGAAAACUAUCACGCCUAUUUUAUGACUACAGUCUUCCCCGAGACAAUUGACGUUGGCUUUUUCUGUACCUGUUGUAUGCUCUCCUAUUAAGCAACCUAAGUGAAGUUGGCAUGAGAGCAAGUAUCAUCUGAAGUGAUGCACUAAUAUUCUUCUACACGAGUGAAGCAUUUUACCUCCUUCUGAAAUGUGUUCUCACGCUUUAUUUUAUCGGAUCCUCCAACAACCCUGGCAGGGGAAGACGCCAGAGUUCGCCUCCCAGAGGGAAUCCUGUCCUGGUCAGCACUUCCUAGAACUGAGUGUGAGAAACAGGAACGAUUAGAGUGCCUGCCUCAUACCAUGAGGGAUAAGGGAGCUAACGAACAUGGAGGCUGAGACCAGUGCCUGGCACAGAGCGGUUCUCCACAGACGUGAGCUCCUAUGGUUAUUAGCUAUUAUCAGGAAUGUACAUGCGUGUGGAGAAUUUAGCUAAACCACUCAUUGAUAUUGCUGCCUUGGCAUCUGUUUCGCCUGGCCAGACAGCCUGCAGGGUCCUUGAACUGUCCCUAGCCCAUCCUAAGAUGCAUGUUUUAGAUAAGAACGGGUAGAAAACAGCCCACAGAUCACAAGUGAAUGUAAGGUCCUCAUACAACUUUCCAGCAGCACUUGUGAAUUACAUUCCCCUUCUGUGUCCCUUAGAUAAGACCACCCUUGAAGCUUACCUAAACUCUGCUCUUUUUGAAUUGACCAAUCUCGCUUUAGUCUGUGAACCCCAAAGCACUCUACCUCUGGCUCCUAUAAAGGCCUGUGCCCUAGGGCCUGUCACUCUCUCUGCUGGCACCCUGCCUUGACCUCCCCAUGUGGCA